rnacentral:rRNA from 1 species
UACGUAGGGGGCAAGCGUUGUCCGGAAUCAUUGGGCGUAAAGAGCGUGUAGGCGGCUCGGUAAGUCCGCUAUAAAAGUCCAGGGCUCAACCUCGAGACGCCGGUGGAAACCGUCUGGCUAGAGUCCGGAAGAGGAGAGUGGAAUUCCUGGUGUAGCGGUGAAAUGCGCAGAUAUCAGGAAGAACACCCGUGGCUAAGGCGGCUCUCUAGUACGGUACUGACGCUGAGACGCGAAAGCGUGGGGAGCGAACAGG